rnacentral:lncRNA from 1 species
AUCAUAGAAGUUAAAGAUGUAUCAAUAAAAAUAAGAAAAAAAAGUUGGUGGGGAGAUUUAGGCUUCAUUUGGGAUUGCGAAGAGAUUGCGUUACGUGUGGUGAGAAAGUACGUUGGAAAAAUAACAUGUUUGUUUCCGUACAUAAUAUUACGUUCCGCAUAUCGCGAUGAGUCGGUUACGAUAUAUUUUCUACAGUGCCACCGGAGAACGCAGAAGCAUAUCCCUGUAUGCUUUUUCCUCAACUCCAUUUUAUCUAAUGGCGUUAGAUAGAUCUCAAUACCAAACUAAACCUUAAUAAUCCAAUCUUUAAAAAUUUAAUUUUUUAUUCAAAAUUUUAAUUUAUUCAAUUUAAAUAGCUCGUAUUGUUCUUCUAAUAUAAAAUUUAGAUUAAUCACUUACUUUAUGAAAAUUAUAGUCAUAUAAAUUUUGUAAAAUAUCCUAAUCAAGUAAGUAAAAAAUAUAUGGCAUGUCUGUACUUUUGAAAUAUAAGAGUCAUUAAAUGAUUUAAAUUAAAUGAGUUAAAAUAUUAGGUAGAAUAUUAAAAGUUCUAGAUCAAAAUGAGUUUUAGUUCAAGUAAGUUUUAUAUAUUUUCAUUUAGGGGCCGUUGCUUAUAUAUUUCUGAAAAGUUUUCGACUUUUCAAUUUAUUCCUCCUAGAAGGUUAAUAUUGAAAAUACUCUUUCUACGUUCCAACACUCUGUUAUUUCUUUAGAGUUACUAUUUUGCCCUUUCAAAUGUACCCUUCCACCAUCAUUAAUUUUUCUAUUUGCCCUUAAAAGUCAGGGGCCAAAAAAGUGUUUUGACUUUUAGUCUUUUUCAAUAUACCCCUCUACCAUCACCAAUAUUUUUUAUUUACCCUUAAGUUAAGGGCAAAAUUGGCAUUUUAAUUUUUUUUAACUGUGGUAGAUGUUUAACUCACGUUAACCCAAGUUAAUUUAACAUGAGAUAACUGCGGGGGUAUUUUGCAAUAACGAUGGAACAUAUGAGGAGUAUUUUAGAAAGAAAAAAAAAAGUAGAAGUAAAUCAGAUAUUUUUAAACGUACGAGGAGUAUAUAGGCAAUUAUCUCUUUUAUUUAACUUUAUUUUUAUUUUUUAUUUUCAUUUUUUUGAUAUCUCCC